UCACCUGGACAUGUCUUUUUACUAGGAAGCAUCACCUAAAAUUCCAGGCAAGUAUGUUUUCCUUUUCCACAUUAAAAAAUUUGAACCUGAUCCUUCUGGGAAGAGUCGAGGAGAAGAUUCUCCCACCUUCAGUUGUCAAGGUUUCUGAGGUAUCAGAAUUCACACUGCAUUAGAAGAGUCCACGAGAAAUACACCCUGAGCAUUUGCCACGGCACUCAAGGCCUUGAAAGACGUGUACAAUACUGAAGUCUUUACAUGUACAAUGGUAAAAUGAACUGCAAUCAACUUCAGAAUCUUUCACCCAAAAUGAAUUUGAAAAAUCACGGAAACUUGCUUAUUAUUAACAUCCUGAAAAUGUUUCGCUUAAGGCUUAGAGGUUUUGAUAAGAUUAUAAAUAUAAGGCUCUUCAUCUUCACAGCAUAAAUAUCCAGAUGAGUCUGUUCACGAGGUAUUGUUUGACCACGCAUUAAUUUCUCAGUUCUCAUCUAGACGUGCUCUCAGUCCAAUGGCCAAAUGCGAAUAUUCACACAUUAACCAAUAAUCACACACGUAAUGAUCACAGCCAGGGCGAUAAUGCCUGCUCUGCAAUGCAGAGCGAAGGCGACGAAGUUUUCUGUCCUCACUUGCUGGUCUCAUCCACAGAGUGCCUUGUUUAAAUAAUACUGUACGUACAUUUUGUUUGAAAAAAAAUAUAGCCCAUGUGCUUUGAACAUCUGUGUCAGAUUCGCUAAGGAUGCAAUGGACUUUCGGACAGAGUGACUUCACCUGGUAAAUUAUUCUCAUUUGAUUCAGAACUUGAAUUUGCUGUGGGAGGCUGGCUCUCAUACUGAACAUAAUGCAGUCAUUACAAGGAAUUAAAAUUUCGUCACUUUUCCCCCUCCUAGUCAUGAAGUUGAAUUUAGUUUUCCUUGCUUUACAAUAGUUAUACACACACACACACAUAGAUACAUUUACAUGUAUAAUAUACAUGUAUAUUAUUUACCUAUGACUACAAAUAUAGGCACAGAUGAGACAGACUUGGACACAGAUCGAUUAGUCAGCAAUGACAGACCAUAGCUGUGGUCUGAAAAAUAUGUGCAUGUGGCCAUUCCUCAAAGAAGGUGCCUGUUUUCUCCUAACACAUUGCUUUUAGAGAAUUUCAUAUGCAUAAUCCAUGCCCGAUUUAUGUCAUAAUGAGAAAUGCAGAGUUUUAAUACAGACCUAAGUAUAUCAGUCUAAAAAUAGAGCCUGUAAAUUUGUUUCAACAUUCUUAUUUUAAGGUGUUGGUGUCCUCUCCAUGAAUGCCGAUUCCAAAAUGGCUUUAUUACCCAGAAAUUAAUACUAUUUAUUGCUCAGA
rnacentral:lncRNA from 1 species